AAGCCUGAUGCAGCCAUGCCGCGUGUAUGAAGAAGGCCUUCGGGUUGUAAAGUACUUUCAGUUGUGAGGAAGGGGGUAGCGUUAAUAGCGCUAUCUCUUGACGUUAGCAACAGAAGAAGCACCGGCUAACUCCGUGCCAGCAGCCGCGGUAAUACGGAGGGUGCGAGCGUUAAUCGGAAUUACUGGGCGUAAAGCGCAUGCAGGUGGUUCAUUAAGUCAGAUGUGAAAGCCCGGGGCUCAACCUCGGAACUGCAUUUGAAACUGGUGAACUAGAGUACUGUAGAGGGGGGUAGAAUUUCAGGUGUAGCGGUGAAAUGCGUAGAGAUCUGAAGGAAUACCAGUGGCGAAGGCGGCCCCCUGGACAGAUACUGACACUCAGAUGCGAAAGCGUGGGGAGCAAACAGGAUUAGAUACCCUGGUAGUCCACGCCGUAAACGAUGUCUACUUGGAGGU
rnacentral:rRNA from 1 species